AGAUACAAGUUUUAAUAACAAGUUUGAAUUACAUAAUGAAAAUGAAUUAUGCAACACAAUUAGAAAUACACAACACAAUUUGAAUGACAUACUAAAACGAUUACAAGUUUUCAUCCAAUGUAACAUGUACUCUAUAAAAUAUCUUACUGCAUUGUUCUUAUUCAUCCAACCAUAUUAUCAGCCUUCCAUUUUGUUUUCUGCUUGAUUCUUUUUGCUCCAAGUUGUUGACGCUCUACAAAUAUAUUUUCCUUGUCUUUUUUCUUCUAAUCUUUUCACAUCCUUUUACAGUAUUCAACUUUUUGUCCUGCCAAAAUAAACAAUAUAAUGCAUGCUAUAGUCACAUGUCAUUAGUUGAGAUGGGAACAGAAAUUAAGCAACAAUUAUAAAUAACCAAGAGUAAGAACUGAUGCAGUACCUAAAGAUUCAACAAGCUAUUACUAACACUCUAAAUCAAAAGGGCAGUAACAUUCCAAAUCAAAAGUUGGUUGUACAAAACUGAUAUCAUACAUGUAAGCUAUAGUAAUAUCCAAAUAACUAUGUUGAAUGGACUGAGAAUACAAUUUUGAAUAUAAGCCAGAAAAAACUCCCAAGUUAAUCCAUACUUCACAUGUGUUACAGCAAAAACAGACUAGGUAAUCAAGCUUCAAAUGAGCCUCCUGUUGUUUAUGACUUCAAAUUGUGAAGUUGAAAAACAGAGAAAUCGUGACACGAUUUCAUAGGCGUGUCGCGAUUUUGGUAAUGUCGAGAGCUAUUUUGCAGGGUGUCCAAUCGUGACACGAUUUUGAGAAAAUGUGACACGAUUUUCGGCUUGCUGGGCAAGUUUUCAGGAUAAGGUUGGUCGUAUCUUGGGUUGUACGCACCAAACGUGUCACGAUUUUGACAGCUGAAGACUGCUAUAUAAGUGUUCUUUGCAUAUUUUGAAGGAAAGCUGGAAGAGAGAGAAAAUUGGGAAAUCAAAGGAGGUAAAUUUAGGGUUGAGGGUCUUUGAUUAGAGUUCUCUUAGGUUGGAAAACAUUGUAAACACCUUGGGUGAGUGAAAAUCAUUGAGUGUCUUGUUCAUUGGUGAGAUUGGGAAAAUGGGUAGAAAUUAGGGUUGUUCUUUGUGAGCUUGUUGAAGCUAAUUUCUUGUAACCCAUUUGUAUCUCUUUGUAAGAACCCAUUGAUAGUGGAUUGAAGAGAUCAAUCUCUCCCCCAGAUUAGGUCAAGUUGGACCGAACUGGGUCAACAAUCUUUGGUGUGUUUUUUCCCCUCUUCUCUUGCUUUAUCUUUUGCUUGUGAUUUUGUGCUUUUCACUUUGAUUCCUAAAUUAGAUCUAGGUGUUGUUAUUGUUGAUUAUUGCUUGUGUUCACUUUGAUAUUGGUUACUACUUUCCUUUCCUCCACACAUCAUAUAGUUUGUAUUGGUGUGAUUUUGUUCACUUUAAUAAGCUAAUGUUGCUCUUAAUGUUGCCCUUCAUGUUGCUCUGCUACAUCAGCUAGCAACAUUAACAGAAAUUGAAAUUUUAAAUAAAAAAACAAUACUAACACCUUAAAGCAAAAGCCAAUGUUGCGCUGCUACAGCACCUAGAAACAUUAACGGAAAUUGAGAUUUUUAAACAAAAACAUAGGAAUGAAUUGAGAUUUUUAUAAAAAUUGAUGACAGGUACUACACAGUUGCACAAACAAGCACAUAAGCAACAGUCAAAUAACUCAUUUGAGAAGUGAGAAUUGGGUACCAUUGGUUUAAAUUUGGGAUAGGUUUGAAGGUUAGCAAAAGAUCCCCUAUAUCAGAGCUGCAACAUUGUCAACAAGCAUAGACUACAACGACCAGACCCUGCUGUAGCAUACAACCUCUGAAGCAUGGGUACUCCAAUCUGCAAAACGUACCCGUACCGGGUAUUCCGUAGGUACUGGUACUCGUAUGACACUCGUACUGUACGCACCCAUGAUGUACCAAUUUUUAUUUUUAUUUUUUUGUUUUUAAACCUUGGUACGGUUACGGUACGACAGUGGUACUCUCAGGGUACACAUAACCGUAUAUUUUUUUUUUUUUUAGAAAAUGAGGUUUUUCAUUUAAAAUUAAAUGUGAAGGAAAAGGAAAUAAUGCAACCUGGAACUGCAACUAUCGCAAUAUAUCAUACAAGGGUUCUUAUUUUAAAAUAAGAUGUCAUUUGCUCCGAGAAAAGAAAAAGGGAUAGUUAUUUGUCCAAAAGUGACGAAUGAAUAUCUUGCUGAGAUGAAAGAACUUGACAGAAUUGCAAGUGAAAAAGCAAAUCCAGUACAAGUUCCUUUUCCUACUGGAACUACAAGUUUGAAUCCGCCGGUUGAGCAAUAUAAUUUCCUCAUGCUAUGUUAUUUUAAUUUUUUUUUUAUCCUAACGUACCCGUACCUUUGUUUUUUGAGAAAUGCCGUAUCCCAUACCUGUACCGGGUACCGUACCCGCACCCGUGCAACACAGCAUACAACACAAAACAGCCAUUCAUCAAACACAUAUAAAUCCAACACCAUAGCUGCAAUAGAACCAAAAUCCUGCAUAAUUAGAACAAAUUAGGCCCCACCCA
rnacentral:lncRNA from 1 species